GAGUUUGAUCUUGGCUCAGAUUGAACGCUGGCGGCAGGCCUAACACAUGCAAGUCGAGCGGAUGACGGGAGCUUGCUCCCUGAUUCAGCGGCGGACGGGUGAGUAAUGCCUAGGAAUCUGCCUGGUAGUGGGGGACAACGUUUCGAAAGGAACGCUAAUACCGCAUACGUCCUACGGGAGAAAGCAGGGGACCUUCGGGCCUUGCGCUAUCAGAUGAGCCUAGGUCGGAUUAGCUAGUUGGUGGGUAAUGGCUCACCAAGGCGACGAUCCGUAACUGGUCUGAGAGGAUGAUCAGUCACACUGGAACUGAGACACGGUCCAGACUCCUACGGAGGCAGCAGUGGGGAAUAUUGGACAAUGGGCGAAAGCCUGAUCCAGGCCAUGCCGCGUGUGUGAAGAAGGUCUUCGGAUUGUAAAGCACUUUAAGUUAGGGAGGAAGGGCAGUAAGUUAAUACCUUGCUGUUUGACGUUACCGACAGAAUAAGCACCGGCUAACUCUGUG
rnacentral:rRNA from 1 species